CUAAAUUAAUUCUAUUUAGAGUAUUCGAAAAUUUAAUUGAAAUAUUUAUACUUGGUUACUUAUGUUGAUAGUUGUGUAUGACUAUGGAUUGUUGGUUUUGAUUUUUGGUUACUCAUUUCAGAGUGAUGUUAAAAUGUUUAAGUGGUUCUGAUUUGAUGAUUAAUUAUAUCCCAUAGUUUGUAAACAACAGUGUUGGGCUGCUGGUUGUGGUUUAAAGAAAAGGUUACCUGGAGCAGAGGGACAGUUAGGGCUUGAAACCUGUAGCAGGAGGGUAGGGGUCAGAGACACUGUACGGCCAACCUGAUGUACAUAUAUGUACAGUACAAGGUUUACCUGGAGGUGCUGAUGAUUCAGAGGCUGGUGAAACCGUUGUGCAUUUGUCGCUGAUCAGGUUGGACAGCCUCUUGUCAAAUCCACUGUGCAGUGUUUGAGGUAA